rnacentral:rRNA from 1 species
UUUUUUAAAUGGAAACUUGUAUGAAUGGUUGGAUGAGAUAUAAGCUGUAUCUUAAUAAACAAUAGAAAUUUAUUUUUAAGUUAAAAAGCUUAAAUAAAAUUAAAAGACGAGAAGACCCUAUAGAGUUUUAUAUUUUAGAGUAUAUUAAUUAUAAGUUUAAUAAAUAAUAAAUUUAAAAAAUAUUUUAUUGGGGUGAUAAUAAAAUUUAAAAAACUUUUAUAAAUUUUUUACAUUAAUAAAUGAUUUAUUGAUCCAAUUUUAUUGAUUAAAAAUUUAAAUUACCUUAGGGAUAACAGCGUAAUAUUUUUUUAGAGUUCAUAUCGAUAAAAAUGAUUGC